GACGAACGCUGGCGGCGUGCUUAACACAUGCAAGUCGAACGGAAAGGCCCUGCUUGCCGGGUACUCGAGUGGCGAACGGGUGAGUAACACGUGGGUGAUCUGCCCUGCACUUCGGGAUAAGCCUGGGAAACUGGGUCUAAUACCGGAUAGGAGCCAUUUUUAGUGUGAUGGUUGGAAAGUUUUUUAGGUGUAGGAUGAGCUCGCGGCCUAUCAGCUUGUUGGUGGGGUAAUGGCCUACCAAGGCGGCGACGGGUAGCCGGCAUGAGAGGGUGGACGGCCACAUUGGGACUGAGAUACGGCCCAGACUCCUCCUGGAGGCAGCAGUGGGGAAUAUUGCACAAUGGUCGCAAGCCUGAUGCAGCGACGCCGCGUGGGGGAUGACGGCCUUCGGGUUGUAAACUCCUUUCGCUAGGGACGAAGCUUUUUUUGACGGUACCUAGAUAAGAAGCACCGGCUAACUACGUG
rnacentral:rRNA from 1 species